GACAUAUUGGUGUUUAGACAACUGAAAUUACCCUUCUGACUGUAGCUGUCUCUGAGACUGAGAUGAAAACAAAAGACUUGCAGGGCAAGCUUCAGUUUUAAAGAGGAAGAUUAUCUAUACUAAAGUCCUAGCUUAUUACUGAGAAGAUGAGUCAUUCAAUUGAUCUGGCCAAACUAAAGAAGAAAAUUAAGGAAUUGGAAGCCAAAGUUGCUACCUCUGAAAACCAAGUGGUUGACAUUUAUGUUAAAGCCCAUAAUGAUAUUAUGGUUGAGAUAGAAAAGCACAAUCCAG
rnacentral:misc_RNA from 1 species